rnacentral:misc_RNA from 1 species
AAGAAUCAAUCAAAGAUCUAUCAGAAUUACGACACACUUAAAAUAAAUAAUAAUGGAGGAAGUGCUCAAUUAAUGCCCGAAUGUAUCAAGUAACUUCAGAAGCAUCUCCAAGAAUAAAAUAUCCGCACCAUGUACAUCUACAGAUUAAGUUCUUAUAAAAAGCGUCUCAGGUAAUUAACCAUUUAACAUAUAGCACCAUUAAGGCAGUACCAGCGACGCACUGCUACACGACCCAUCGUCUAUAUCAGUCAAUAAAAAUCGCAUAAUUUUAAUAAGUAGUUAUCGGAGUCGGGGACCAUAAAGUCAUGGCGCGGUACCAUUUUCCAUAAGGUCGCUCCGCUGAUAGGGAAAACGCGAUCUUUUACGGUAUUGAAGAAGGAUAAUAGUCAACUGGUCCAAUUGACUCGUUAUUAUUAUUAUCAAUCAGUGAAAAAGUGACCUAACUAUAAAAAGUUGUUUAAUCAAAUCAAAAUUUAAUGAAAUGCUCUUAAAUUAAAAUGUUAAAUCAA